GGUGCAACAAACCACCAUGGCACGUGUAUACCUAUAUAACAAACCUGCAAGUUCUGCACAUGUAUCCCAGAACUUAAAUUAUAAUUUAAAAAUUAAAAAAAGAAAGAUAAUUAUAAGUAGGCAUUGGUCAGGCUGCACUCUGGCCCACUUCUUUGGGGCUGCUUGCUAGCUGAAAGUCACACACUAGACCAUUUGCAUCCCCAUUGUUUCUACAGAUGGGACUUCUGAUGUUAGAAUCAUAAGACUUUUGUUUAAGAAUUGCUUAAGAUGUUCUUCAGAUCCUGAAUUCCAGCAGGCAUGGCUGACACCAACCAGUUUUUUAAGACUCCCACAACAAGGAACCAGAUCUGCUUGAGAAAACAGUUUCUUAUCUCCCUGUCCCAUGGCUUUACCCUGUACCCUUCAACCAUUCAAUGAUUCCCCAGACCUCAGCCCACUCCAAAUCCCUAAAAACCUCUGGCCCCAAACUCAUCUUGAAGAUGGAUUUGAGUUUUUCUUCCAUCUCCUCAUUUGGUUGCCUUAUGAUUAAACCUCUUUCUCUGGCAAUUAACCUGGUACAGUUACCAACCUGUGGAGUCUGAUGCUAUCUCCAGGUAAUGAGUGUCAGAACUGAAUUAAAUUAAGGGAUAGUGUGAUCCCAGCUCACUGCAACCUCUGCCUCCUGUGUUCAAGUGAUUCUCCUGCCUCAACCUCCCAAAUAGCUGGGACUACAGGCAGGUGCCACCACGCCUGGGUUAUUUUGUAUUUUUAGUAGAGAUGAGGUUUCACCAUAUUACCCAGGCUGGUCUCGAACUCCUGACCUCAGAUGAUCCACCCAACCUCGGCUGCACAAAGUGCAGGGAUUAUAGGUGUGAGCCACUGUGCCGUGAUCUGGUAUACUUAAACAUCAGAGAGACAAACAUGGAGACAGCACGCAUCACACACUCAAAGCCGGCGAUCCAUUUUCUAGGCACAUAUUCCCAUAAUGGGACAGAGAACUGACGGCAAAGUCUAGCAGGUGUGGAGGCUGCACUGGAAGCACCUGGAUGCCUGGUUUCAACUGCCUGCCCUUGAGUGGGCCACAUGGCAACAAGCAUCUCCUGGUAAUAGUGAUGGACUGAGGCCAGACACCCCCUUCUUGUUGGCUGGGCAAACUGUCAUCCCCUUAGAUUACAAAUGGUUAGGAUGAAGUAUUUACCCAAAUGACGUUGCUCAGUGUGGGGGUGUGGCAUAAGGUGGCUAACUUAUUUAUUAAAGCUGAUU
rnacentral:lncRNA from 1 species